AUGGUCGACUGAAGGCUGUGAUACAAGACAUGAUGAUGUUACGCAGGGCGUAACUUGCUUGAGCAAUCACUUAACUUCCUUUGCAAUCCUAAUGCAAACCAGAAAGGAAGAUGUACAGAAAGAGGCAGAUAAAGUCGGCUUGGAAGUAAUUACGUACGUAGGAUUAUCUGUGUCAACAGCAUUCCUGCUCUUUACCCUCGGUAUAAUAUCUGGCCUAAGAGAGUUGAGAAAAUCACGGCGUUACAAAAUUCUGAGGAAUACUGUCAUAUCCUUGCUUUGUACAAACUUUUGCUUUUAUAUUAUUGUCGUCAAUAUUAAGAACAAG